UUGCGGAGAGCACGGGUCUCAACAUCAAAAACUUGAUCGAGUCAGCACGAGAGAUAAGCCUUAUGGAGUACGUUCGAAGUAAUGCCUCAAUUUCUUGAUGGCAUAAAAUAAUGUUAAGCAGACUUUCUCAACGGUAUGAGCGGUUUCUCAGGUGUUGGAGCUCCUAAAACUGGCAAAUUUAGCAUAAUUUUUUGUGCUCUCAAAAGCGUUUUGAAAUCCUUCAUCCUACUAGAAAGAGGCAUCUUUCUUCAUGAGGUGGUUGAAGCGUUGGCAUCUUCUAGCGAGGAUCGACUUUAGUACCGUGCUGGCGAACGAUGAAGCCAAGAAGUUUUCCAGACAAGACAUCUAAGGCACACUUGAGAGGGUUCAUCUUUAGGUUAUACUUCCUCAAGCGGUCAAAUACUACUUGGAGGUCUGACAAGUAUUCUCUCUUCUUGAUUUUGACGACAAGAUCAUCUACGUAGCAUUUCACCUUCUUAUGUAGCAUAUCAUCUAAGAUGUUCUGCCUAACAGGUUGGGGCUAGCCCCUGCGUUCUUUAAUUCGAAGGCCAUUACCUUGUAGCAAUAGAUUCCUUUAGGGGUGUGAAAGGUCGUGCAUUCUUUGUCUUUAGGUGAUAUUCUAAUUUGGUUGUAACCGAAGGAGCCAUCCAUGAAAGACAAUGCUUCAUGUUCAGUAACCGCGUCAACCAUGAAUUCGAAGAUAGGCGAAGAAAAGUCAUCUUUUGAACAUGCUUUGUUUAAGUUUGGAAAAUCAACACAAAUGCAAAUUUGACCAUUCUUGCUCUUGAGAGGCAUGAUGUUAGAAAUCAACAUCGAAUAUUUGAUUUCUCUAAUGAA